GUAGUCUGCAACCCGACUACAUGAAGCUGGAAUCGCUAGUAAUCGCGAAUCAGAAUGUCGCGGUGAAUACGUUCCCGGGUCUUGUACACACCGCCCGUCACACCAUGGGAGUCGGAAAUGCCCGAAGUCAGUGACCCAACCGUAAGGAGGGAGCUGCCGAAGGUGGAGCCGGUAACUGGGGUGAAGUCGUAACAAGGUACC
rnacentral:rRNA from 1 species